rnacentral:piRNA from 1 species
UGAUGAUGAAGGUUUGCCUAUGGUGUGU